ensembl:lncRNA novel transcript
UGGGUUAGUGAAAUGGCUCCUUUGCCAAGCGUCAACAUGUGGUAGAUCUAAUUUGAAAUGAGUUCCAGAGCUGAGGCAAGGCUAUGAUAGAACACAAGGCAAACAGCUGAAAACUGUAGUCAAAAGGCAGGGAAGCUGAGAAAGUGAUUCAAAGAAGCCCAUCUGAAAUCGGAAGCAACAGGGACGCUUUUAGGGAGGUCCUGGGUGCUUCAGAACACGGGCCUUCAGCUGAGACCUCUCCAACUGCCUGGACCCUGGCUGCUGGCAGACCAAGUUGCUCAACACCCAGAAUUAACUUGGGACUGGAGUCCCCAUGUGAGGCCACGACAGGAGGCACACAGCAGGACCUCUCAGAAGGGCCUGGAGGGGAAAGAUCCCUCAGCUCCAGCCUGUAAAGAAGGUGCACUGGGAUGCCCACACAAAGAGGAUUCCCUUGGCAGCAAGGAAAACCAUUAGCCCUGUGCUGUUUAUAGAUAGCAGAGAAUAAAGAGAAAUAAGAAGCA